UCGGCUCCGGUUCACGUCCGCGCACGCGGGCGACCCGGCGGCU
rnacentral:ncRNA from 1 species